rnacentral:rRNA from 1 species
AAAUUGAAGAGUUUGAUCAUGGCUCAGAUUGAACGCUGGCGGCAGGCCUAACACAUGCAAGUCGAACGGUAGCACAGAGAGCUUGCUCUCGGGUGACGAGUGGCGGACGGGUGAGUAAUGUCUGGGAAACUGCCUGAUGGAGGGGGAUAACUACUGGAAACGGUGGCUAAUACCGCAUAACGUCGCAAGACCAAAGAGGGGGACCUUCGGGCCUCUUGCCAUCAGAUGUGCCCAGAUGGGAUUAGCUUGUUGGUGAGGUAACGGCUCACCAAGGCGACGAUCCCUAGCUGGUCUGAGAGGAUGACCAGCCACACUGGAACUGAGACACGGUCCAGACUCCUACGGGAGGCAGCAGUGGGGAA